rnacentral:rRNA from 1 species
UGCGUAGGCGGCUUUUUUAAGUUUGGUGUGAAAUCUCCCGGCUCAACCGGGAGGGUGCGCCGAAUACUGAGAGGCUAGAGUGUCGGAGAGGAAAGUGGAAUUCCUGGUGUAGCGGUGAAAUGCGUAGAUAUCAGGAGGAACACCGGUGGUGUAAACGGCUUUCUGGACGAUAACUGACGCUGAUGCACGAAAGCGUGGGUAGCAAACAGGAUUAGAUACCCUGGUAGUCCACGCCCUAAACGAUGCAUAUUUGGUGUGGGCCAUUCAUUUGGUCUGUGCCGGAGCUAACGCGUUUAAAUAUGCCGCCGUGGGGAGUACAGUCGCAAGGCUAGAA